UACGUAGGGGGCAAGCGUUGUCCGGAAUCAUUGGGCGUAAAGCGCGCGUAGGCGGCCCGGUAAGUCCGCUCUGAAAGUCCAGGGCUCAACCCUGGAAAGCGGGUGGAUACUGCCGGGCUAGAAUCCGGAAGAGGCGAGUGGAAUUCCUGGUGUAGCGGUGGAAUGCGCAGAUAUCAGGAGGAACACCGGUGGCGAAGGCGACAUCCUGGACCGGUAUUGACGCUGAGGCGCGAAAGCCAGGGGAGCAAACGGG
rnacentral:rRNA from 1 species